UACAAAAAAGCAAUGAUUUUAUUUAUGUGUGGUAACACAUAGUCGACUGAAUACGUUCAUUCCGACGUUUAUAAACGCCACACAUAAAUUUUGUUAUUGAGAUCAAUACACUUCUAUUAGUUAUUCCUUAUAGUAAAAUUCUAUAAAAGAUCACACCUUAUUACAAUAUGUCAUGAAUGAACCCGCGCCCCACGUGAACUUUGUUGUUGUUGUUGUUGUUCUUCAAUUUUUUCAAGAUGGACGAGGUGGAUGCUGAAAACUUGUGCGGGAUGUCGAAUAGCAUCCCAGUAUGGAUAGCGUGCAUCUCAGUGGGUAGUUCAGAAAGACCAACACUACACAGCGAAAAUAGGGUUCAUUCACAAAUUUCAUAACGCCUUUCCUGACACCCACCCACCCCUUCGUAAUACUAUUUAUAUGGAGAAAAAUUUUAUUUGUUUGGGCUGUAACACCAUGAAGGACACUCACCCACCCCCUCCAGCGUUAUGACAUUUGUGAACAAGCCCAUACUGUGCAGCGCUUUGUCCUCGUGUGAGAAGUUUUGACUAGUCAUCGGCAAGUUUCCAGCUGUUAAUCCACAAUACGAUGAAACCCUCGAUGAAACCAUCAGCAAUUUCAACGCCACAAGCGGCACUAAACAACCCCUCUUCUGCUGCUCGUACAUCCGGCAAGCGACUUCAAGACUUAUUCCAUUGUCCGAGAUCAUGUCAACAAGUUUGGUUCAUGUAUAUUUUAGGAUGUGAAUAAACGCAAGAAUAUUUCAUUGAACUUUGUGUAACGAAUCAUAAACUAAAUAGGAAACACCUAGAGGCAGAAGAAUAUUCAUUACAUCGGCUAAAUAGAAGAAAUAAGUCAAGAGCAAUAUAAAGUAAAUACUAAAGUCUUCAAUUUAAUAAGGGCGACACAUACUGUUGAUAAGUUGAUAGUUCAUCUGAAGGUAUGUGUAAGGCACAUGCACCUUAUUUGUAAAAUCUAAUUGCAAAAAUCUAUAGAAGCUGACACAUACUAACAAUAUGGAAAUUUCUCUCAGUGAACGUCGGACGUAGUGCGCUGUUAUAUAUAACGUAUAUA